rnacentral:rRNA from 1 species
UAACGAAUAUUCCGCAAUGGACGAAAGUCUGACGGAGCAAUGCCGCGUGCAGGAUGAAGCGGUUUCGCCGUGUAAACUGCUGUCAGGGGCAGGAAAAACUGAUCCGCCCCAAAGGAAGAGACGGCUAACCCUGUGCCAGCAGCCGCGGUAAUACAGGGGUCUCGAGCGUUAAUCGGAAUCACUGGGCGUAAAGGGCGCGUAGGCGGCAAUUCAAGUCAUCUGUGAAAUCUCCGGGCUUAACUCGGAACGGUCAGAUGAUACUGCUUUGCUAGAGUGCAGAAGGGGCAAUCGGAAUUCUUGGUGUAGCGGUGAAAUGCGUAGAUAUCAAGAGGAACACCUGAGGUGAAGACGGGUUGCUGGGCUGACACUGACGCUGAGGCGCGAAAGCCAGGGGAGCAAACGGGAUUAGAUACCCGAGUAGUCCCUGAGCGGGCUGGCAAGGCGCAU